GUGGGGAAUCUUGCGCAAUGGGCGAAAGCCUGACGCAGCCAUGCCGCGUGAAUGAUGAAGGUCUUAGGAUUGUAAAAUUCUUUCACCGGGGACGAUCAUGAAGGUACCCGGAGAAGAAGCUCCGGCUAACUUCGUGCCAGCAGCCGCGGUAAUACGAAGGGGGCUAGCGUUGCUCGGAAUUACUGGGCGUAAAGGGCGCGUAGGCGGACAGCUUAGUCAGAGGUGAAAGCCCAGGGCUCAACCUUGGAAUUGCCUUUGAUACUGGCUGUCUUGAGUUUGGGAGAGGUGAGUGGAACUCCGAGUGUAGAGGUGAAAUUCGUAGAUAUUCGGAAGAACACCAGUGGCGAAGGCGACUCACUGGCCCAAUACUGACGCUGAGGCGCGAAAGCGUGGGGAGCAAACAGGAUUAGAAACCCGGGUAGUCC
rnacentral:rRNA from 1 species